GUCAGGAUGAACGCUGGCGGCGUGCUUAACACAUGCAAGUCGAACGAAGCACUUACUUACGAUCCCUUCGGGGUGACGAGUUAGCGACUGAGUGGCGGACGGGUGAGUAACGCGUGGGUAACCUGCCUUAUACAGGGGGAUAACAGUUGGAAACGGCUGCUAAUACCGCAUAAGCGCACAGUACCGCAUGGUACAGUGUGAAAAGCUCCGGUGGUAUAAGAUGGACCCGCGUCUGAUUAGCUAGUUGGUGAGGUAACGGCCCACCAAGGCGACGAUCAGUAGCCGAUCUGAGAGGAUGAACGGCCACAUUGGGACUGAGACACGGCCCAGACUCCUACGGGAGGCAGCAGUGGGGAAUAUUGCACAAUGGGCGAAAGCCUGAUGCAGCGACGCCCGCGUGAGUGAUGAAGUAUUUCGGUAUGUAAAGCUCUGUCAGCAGGGAAGAUAAUGACGGUACCUGACUAAGAAGCACCGGCUAAAUACGUGCCAGCAGCCGC
rnacentral:rRNA from 1 species